AGGGAGAGAGACGCGAUGAAGCUCCAGCCCAAGAUGGAUGUACGCUAGAAUCUUCCCGUUGAACCUGGAACUCACCAAUUUAGCAAGCUUAGCUGGGCAUUGAGUCCUUUGGAUCCACCUGUCUCCCUGCCUCCUACCACUGGGGUUAAAGGUGUCUACAGAAGCCAAAAGAGAAAGUCUAAUCCCCUGGAACUAGAGUCACCAGUGAUUGUGAACCACAUGACAUGGCUGCUGGUAAGUGACCUCAGGGCCUCUGCAAGAGCAGAAAGAGCGAUUAACCACCGUGCCAUUUCUCCAACCCUGAAAGACAUCAUUUGGAUCUUAGAACAAGCCAUCCUCAGACACCGAAUUUGCCAGAGCCUUGUUCCUGCGUUGCAAGAAUGUGUGUGAUACACUGCUUUUGUUCAGUUUGUUGUUCGGGGUCUGAGUUUGGGUUUUUAUUGCUGUGAAGAGACACCGUGACCACAGUAACUCUUAUAUAGGAAACCAUUUCAUUGAGGGGACUCACUUAAAUGAGUUUCAGAGGUUCAGUCACUCAUCAUUCUGGCAGAGACCAUGGUGGCGUGCAGGCAGAGGUGGUGCUGGAACUGAGACUGCUACAUCUUGCAGGCAACAGGAAAUCCACUGACUGUCACACUAAGAGAAAGUUGAGAAAAAGACCUAAAAAAGACCUGCCCCAUAAUGACACACUUCCAAGAGAAAGUGUGUUGCAGAUUAAAGAUGUUCCCUUAAGCCUCAAGGUCUGGAUUAAAGGCAUACAUCACCCAGACUCCUCUAGCAAAGUGACACUUUCUCCACCAAGGUCACACCUCUUAAUUGUGCCAUUCCCUAGGAGCUUAUGGGGGCCAAAUACACACAAACUACUCUACUGAGUCUAAGGUACUUCACUAUAGUAGCAAAGAUGGGCUAAGAAACAGAAAUAAUAUUUCUUAUAUCACUGCUUAAGAAUUCAUCUGAGCCCUGUUGCACCAGAGGCCAGCCUGGUGUGGAGACUCCCCUUCUAUAAGAGACCUCUCAGACUAGAAGAAGUUCAGGUAAGCUGUCCUCCCCUCAAACUACCCCACUAUCUCACUAUUUUGGCAUCCCCCUCCCACUGUACCCCUGGUCCUUUCCCCAUCUCCAACUGGUGUGGAGACUCUCCACUCUACGAGAGAGCAAGCAGACUAGCAGUUCAGAUAGCCUGCCUGCUGGUCAAACUCUCCCACUUGCUCAAUAUCUCAACACCCACCCACACUGUCACCUGUCCUAUGCCCUCCUUCUUGCCUUUCCCCAGACUCCAACUGGGACAGAGACUCCCACACUACCAGAGACCAAACAGACUGAAAGAAGCCCAGGUCACAUAGAUCAGAAGACCAGAAAGGAAACAGAAACCUAGGAACAAAGCACCCAUCCAAUAAAGACAAAUUGA